rnacentral:misc_RNA from 1 species
GUCAAUAAAAAAAAAAAAUCAUGGCUAGACAUCUCGCUACUUUUCUUACCAAGCAAAUGAUGCGCCGAUCUGCAUUAGCGGCAAACAAAGCUACUUCAAGAUCUUCAAGUGUACCCAAAGGUUUCUUAGCCAUUUAUGUUGGUGAGACAGAAAAGAAGAGAUUUGUAGUUCCAAUAUCUUAUCUGAACGAGCCUUCAUUUAUAAACUUGCUUAGUAAAGCAGAAGAGGAGUGCGGUUUUAAUCAUCCAAUGGGCGCUUUGACAAGCAGAGAAGAAAUUUUUAUUGGUGUCACUUCCAGCUUGAGUAGAUCAUCAGAGAAGGCGUAUUAAUCUAAUCAUGGGAAACAAUUUUGUGUGGCAGUAAAUACUUUUUUUGUUGUAUAAUGAGAAA